UCGGGGCCCAACCUCCCACCCGUGUUGCCCGAACCUAUGUUGCCUCGGCGGGCCCCGCGCCCGCCGACGGCCCCCCUGAACGCUGUCUGAAGUUGCAGUCUGAGACCUAUAACGAAAUUAGUUAAAACUUUCAACAACGGAUCUCUUGGUUCCGGCAUCGAUGAAGAACGCAGCGAAAUGCGAUAACUAAUGUGAAUUGCAGAAUUCAGUGAAUCAUCGAGUCUUUGAACGCACAUUGCGCCCUCUGGUAUUCCGGAGGGCAUGCCUGUCCGAGCGUCAUUGCUGCCCUCAAGCCCGGUUGGUGUGUUGGGCCCCGUCCCCCCCGCCGGGGGGACGGGCCCGAAAGGCAGCGGCGGCACCGCGUCCGGUCCUCGAGCGUAUGGGGCUUCGUCACCCGCUCUAGUAGGCCCGGCCGGCGCCAGCCGACCCCCAACCUUUAAUUAUCUCAGGUUGACCUCGGAUCAGGUAGGGAUACCCGCUGAACUUAAGCAUAUCAUA
rnacentral:rRNA from 1 species